rnacentral:rRNA from 1 species
AUUGAACGCUGGCGGUAUGCCUUACACAUGCAAGUCGAACGGUAACGCGGGGCAACCUGGCGACGAGUGGCGAACGGGUGAGUAACGCAUCGGAACGUGCCCAAUAGUGGGGUAUAGCCCGGCGAAAGCCGGAUUAAUACCGCAUACGACCUAAGGGUGAAAGCGGGGGAUCGCAAGACCUCGUGCUAUUGGAGCGGCCGAUGUCAGAGUAGGUAGUUGGUGGGGUAAAGGCCGACCAAGCCGACGAUCUGUAGCUGGUCUGAGAGGACGACCAGCCACACUGGGACUGAGACACGGCCCAGACUCCUACGGGAGGCAGCAGUGGGGAAUUUUGGACAAUGGGCGCAAGCCUGAUCCAGCCAUGCCGCGUGCGGGAAGAAGGCCUUCGGGUUGUACACCGCUUUUGUCGGGGAAGAAAUAUCCUGGGCUAAUACCCCGGGAGGAUGACGGUACCCGAAGAAUAAGCACCGGCUAACUACGUGCCAGCAGCCGCGGUAACAC